rnacentral:rRNA from 1 species
GAUGAACGCUGGCGGCGUGCUUAACACAUGCAAGUCGAACGGAAAGGCCCAAGCUUGCUUGGGUACUCGAGUGGCGAACGGGUGAGUAACACGUGGGUGAUCUGCCCUGCACUUCGGGAUAAGCCUGGGAAACUGGGUCUAAUACCGGAUAGGACCACAUUUUGGGUGGUGUGGUGGAAAGUUUUUCGGUGUGGGAUGAGCUCGCGGCCUAUCGGCUUGUUGGUGGGGUAAUGGCCUACCAAGGCGUGGGCGGGUAGCCGGCCUGUGAGGGUGUACGGCCACAUUGAGACUGAGGGACGGCCCAGACGCCUACGGGAGGCAGCAGUGGGGAAUAUUGCACAAUGGGCGCAAGCCUGAUGCAGCGACGCCGCGUGGGGGAUGACGGCCUUCGGGUUGUAAACUCCUUGCGCUAGGGACGAAGCGUUAUGUGACGGUACCUGGAGAAGAAGCACCGGCUAACUACGUG